UUUGCCAUGGUGCUGCCAGGUUAUAAAGUAGAUAAAACUUAAGUUACAAUUCUGGUUUUCCUCAAGAUCUAAGACAUGUUAAUUGUCUUUGUUUCUGGCUCUGGUAACAUCUUCCCACACAUGUAUUUCCCGCCUUAAAGAGUUUAAAAGGGCUGCUGCCACACCAAAUCUUUGGCGUGGCUAAGGCAAGAACCUUUGGCAUUACAUUUUUGGUGAACCAGCCAGGAGGAUCUCCAGGAAAGGCAUUUACAUCGUCACGUGGAUCGAGGCCAUCAAGCUACAAAUAGUCUUACACAUG
rnacentral:lncRNA from 1 species